CCCAUGUGAACAUACCCUACGUUGCCUCGGCAGGUCGCGUCUACCUCGUAGCGCCCUACCCUGUAGGGCCUACCCGGCAGACCCGGGUAAGCCUGCCGGCGGCCCACGAAACUCUGUUUAAUAUUGAAUUCUGAACCUAUAACUAAAUAAGUUAAAACUUUCAACAACGGAUCUCUUGGUUCUGGCAUCGAUGAAGAACGCAGCGAAAUGCGAUAAGUAAUGUGAAUUGCAGAAUUCAGUGAAUCAUCGAAUCUUUGAACGCACAUUGCGCCCAUUAGUAUUCUAGUGGGCAUGCCUGUUCGAGCGUCAUUUCAACCCUUAAGCCUCUGUUGCUUAGUGUUGGGAGCCUACGGUAUAGUAGCUCCUCAAAGUUAGUGGCGGAGUUGGUUCACACUCUAGACGUAGUAGAUUCUAUCUCGCCUAUUAGUUGGACCGGUCCCUUGCCGUAAAACCCCCUAAUUUUUAAAGGUUGACCUCGGAUCAGGUAGGAAUACCCGCUGAACUUAA
rnacentral:rRNA from 1 species